UCUUGGAGCCGCUUCAGCAUCGCAGGCGUCUCCUUCUCCACGGAGGCGAAGCCGCUGGACACCUGGCAGUGCUGCAUCACUCAUCUGCCCGUGCUGACCUCCUUCCCCCGACCCCGCAUCACAGCGCGGUGUACAAAGAAAACUUGAAUCGCAUCCUGUGGCAUUAGCCCUUAGCUGAGAUGAAUGAAGAUUUUACUUUGUAGGACUUCUGUAAGACCUCUUUAUAUGAGGCUGAGCACUCGCUGAGAGGAAGAAACAUAGCUAGUUUACCUGUAGAAAUAAGGCCUUAUGCCGAAUAUUCAGGCCAUUAAUGGAGAAAGAUCUAAAAGAGAGAAGAAGAAAGAGAGAAAGAAGAAGAUCUAAUAAACUAUGGGAAGUCUAUGAAUAAACAAAUUGUAGUGAAAAGCCAUAGCUGACCAAGCAGCUAGUUGAAAGAAGUUCCCUUAUUGGUCGUCCUGCUUCCUGCAGUCAGAAAAGCCAGUAGAAAAUUCUGCGUAAGGUUUUCAGACAGGGGAACUGCACUAUACGUGUUGUUCUUGGGCUGGAAAAGAUAAAGAAGUUGCUGCUUCCUGUGUGUGGAUCUUUAGUAUCUUCUUGACCACGAGAAACCCAAAGAACCAGACAGAAAUUUAGGAACAGAAGUAUUUGCAGAAGUAACAGUCCAUACAGCAAUGACACCAAAGAAGAGUGAAAUAGAGACCUUCCCCUUAAGAUGGCGACGUUACACAAUUCUGAAUGACCUUCCAGACUACUCCAAAAUGAUGGACAACUUAGGCUAUGUAGCAUAGUUAUGUGGAAGUCAGUUUUGUGUGUUUACAUGCAGUGGUGUUUCAUUACUACAAGGAUUGCAGAGCUUUGUUAUUAUUAAUUUACUUCUCUUCUUUUGUAGCUACAGUGAAUCACUGCUGUUUGCUACACUGAGCCUUUCUUAAGUGGUAAUCUAAAGUAGCAAAACGCCUUCAAUCUCAUUUGCAUCAGCUAUACAAGCCUGUACGGAUUCCCCAGCUGAUUCCCAGGUUAGGAGCCUGAUCCAGCCAUACUUUCAAAAGAGAAGGGAAAAGAGUCAAGUGCAAAAAGCAACAGCAGAAGCAGAGGAGUGCUUAUGCUAAUGACAGCUUUUAUGUAAGUACCCUGCCACCUGUAUGGCGAACUGCGGGAUGCCAGCCUUUGGCUCUGCUAGGGUAUGCCUAGGAACAUUUUAAUGGGAAGCUGACAUUUUUUUAAGAGCCAUCAUUACAGAGGAUUUUUUUCUCAAAAAAUUGCAACCACAUUAGAGAAUAUUAGCGAAAACUGAACACAGCAUUUCCAAACCUGACUCAGUCUGUAUGUGUGUUUUCUCCUAUACACAGAUUGACGGAUUGCAAGCUCUUUUUAGCAAGAACCAGAUUUUUCUACCAUAUUGCUUUUAUUAGGAACCUAAUGAGGUUUAUUUUUCCUAAAAAUCCUUGCUCUGUGGUCAUAACUUCAUGAAAGUCCUACCUCACUUUGGUUUCAUUACAAUUUUUGCCCUUCUCAUUAUGAAGAAAAGGUAGAAAUCUGAACCUUAAAGUUUCAAACACUAGAAAACGCAAAUAAAAGGAACUGAGAUUUUUCAGCAGGUCCGAUGAGGGAAUUUUGGGGUCUGACUCACAGUUUCUGAAUGUUUGGGUUUAGCAACACUGCUAGUUGCUAGACUAGAAGGCUUGGAAAAAAUUGGCUUAAGCUCACGCAAGGGUUUGAGCAGGAUGUUUCCUUUUAUUCUUCCCUACCCUAGACUAGUACCAAAUUACAUAAAUUGCUUCAGAUUUCCAACAUUUCCCAGUCUGGAAUAAUUUACAUUUGGAGAGACGGUGUGAAUUAAGCUGUUAUAAAAGGCUCAGAUGCAGUGCCAACUUGUUACUAUGCUCUUUCAAGUAUCAAAUGCUUUUUCUUUUAAAGAAGCUCUUAGAGAAUUUCUUGCAUCUGGAAUUCUCUCUCAUUGCACAGCUUAUUUAUCAAAUGCAAAAGAAGGCUUAUAAAAACAAAUACAUUCAUAGUAACACAACAGUUCCUGCAAGUGCAACUUGCUACAGUUGGAGGCUCUAUUGUACUACAGGCUAUAGGAAGAUGUUGCCUUCCUCAAGGAUAUUUCAACCUGAAUAAAUCUAGAUGCCUCACAGAGAUGCAGAAUGAAACAGAAGCCAUAAGCAGCCAAGAGAAGACCAGAGGACAGCAGGGCACCCACUGAACUGAUAGUGCAAACAGAACUUGCAGCCUGCAGCCUGAAUUGCACUUAAAGCCCAAAGCGAGAAGGUGGGCCUGACUUCACUUCUCAAUUCAUUAGAUAUUGCGUAGGGGACUUCAGUCUGCAUGUUACAUUGUAUGUGCCAUAAAUAGGAUACCUAGAGACCCUCCCUGUUUUUUGCAGACAUGUAAUUCCAUUUUCUGCCGAGGGAUAUGAUACACUUUCUGCCCAUUGAGGGUUGCAAAUACCGCAUUCAUACCACACAUUCGAAUUAAAACAGUAAAGCACUGGGUGAGGGUUUAUCUGAUUCAACUUUGGCUGUGGAAAGGGUGUUCUAAUUCUUGCUAUUAUUAAUACUUGUACCAGAGCUGUAUUAGUCCUAAGGUUUUUGCUAGCAAAUUGUAUUGUAUCAAAUAUGAUGAUCCAAACGCAACUUCUGACCAGGAAACUGCUAAAUGUUAUCUGCCAAAAGCUGCCAUAAUGUUCUAGGGGAAGAAUCACUCUGCAGAGAGAAACUUUCCCUAAGUACCCGCUCUUGGCCCCUGUUGAUGAUAUGAUAUCGAGCUAGCUGGACUUGAGUACAGAAUGAAUGUUCUUGUAUUUUGCCUAACUUUCCUCCUUUGGCUAAUAGAUUUUAGAUAGAUAGAUGGAUGUAAUACAGGUGCCACCUAUAAGGAUUUGUACAGUUCUGGUGAAUUUACCACUUGCA